ensembl:lncRNA
UUUUUUUUUUUUUUUUUUUUCAUGAGAGUCACAAUGUUUAUUUCAGGUGCUCUCUUGGUUUUUUGUUUUGUUUGUAUUUUUUUUUUCUUUUCUGCCACACAGGCAGUGUGUGGGAAUUCCUGGGCCAGGGAUUACAUCUACGCUGCACAGCAGCAACCAGAGCCACAGUGGUGAGAAUGCAGGAGCCUCAACCCGCUAGGCCAUCAGAGAACUCCCAACAAUUCGCUUCUUAACUACCCCUCUUCGCUACCCUCCACAGCCCCUCCAAAUUCCCUUCAGCCACACAAAUAACUAGCUUGUUGAUUUUUCCUCACCAUGGCAGUUCCCUCUAGACCAAUUAGCUAUUUGCAUUUGUUGCUGAUCUUCCUCAAAAGGGUGCAGAUCUGCUCAGGCUGGGGGCGGUUGCCUGCCCACUGUGCUAGGACUUUACAGCUGAAGGAUUUGGAAAGAAAGGGUGAGGACCACUCUCUGGGGUCCCCGGAUCAUGCCUCAACACCUUGAGGGCUCCUGCCCUCUUGAGCUCCCUUUCAGGAGCAGGACAGGCCUCACACCCUAACCACACAGAAGGAGGGCUGCUUUCUGUCCCUCUGGUAUGUUUCCCAUCCUGAGAAACAGAGAGAGGAAGACAAGGAGAGAAAAGGGAGAGAGGAUGCUAAUGGGCAAAGAUGAUAAUACAAGGAGAGGUGAGAACCAGAGGACUGGAGGACAGAGAACAUGCCCCUCCAGGCAGGAACCCGCGUGCUGCCAGCUCCCCUCCACCUCAGCAGCCAGUGGGGUGAUGUCAGUCAACCUCCUAUCCUCUCUGGGCUUCCUCAUUUGCAGAUUCACAUCCCCUUGAAGGAAGAAGCUGUUUGAGGAUAUUUUUCAACGUCUGAACUCUUUGUUUUGUUUCAAUAUUAUUAUUUCAGAAAUACAAAUUUAGCAUGGACAUCGAAAUAAAGAAAAAUUACAUUUUUCUCUAGAUUUCCUUUGUCCCUGGUUCACUUUACUGUACAUGGUGGUGUGCACUGCAUUCACAGCAAAAUAUCACAAAUAUAUGAAUGCUAACAGCUACAACUGAGGGGAAGAGGCCUCUUCACCCAGAAAGAUGAUCUUCUCUCUAAGCAUCUAUGAGGACGAGUACCCUUCUACCCUUCAGCACUGCCCCUCCUGCCCCACCCUGUUCGGUCCCUCCUAUUCGUGUAGGAGGAAACAUCCCUGAUUCUCAGCUGGAAAGUUGGAGUGGCAAGAAGCCCAGCCUAUGCCCUGGAGCCCUAGAUCCACAAAGGCAGUGCAAAGGAGUGAUUGGCAAUAUGUUGUAAUUACAACAAUGAUAUACAAAUAAGCACAAAGAAGUACUCUAGAAUGGAUGGUUUGGGAGAACACAAGCGUCCCUGGUGAGCCUGGCAUAACUGGAGGAAAAGCCUGUUUUUCCCAGAUAGCAGGCAAAGUUCAGACCCUCUCCUUGCAAUGUCAUUUGGAGAUGUUUGCCCUAAUAGUGAGGACUUCUUGUCAACAACCACUCUGUGCAGACAGGGAGGAAAAUCUAAAACCUAGGUCCGCAGAGAGCUGGGACAGGCCCUCUAGUUGGUAAGGGCUCAGGUUUGCGGAACUUGUGCUGGGGAAGUUGGGGUAUGGGAACUGAGAGUGGGGAAGCGGGAGGGGGAGGAGGAGGAGGCCACCCUAGGCUGACGUAUGGAGACAGAAGAGCUCAGGCGUGCUGAGCCUGGACCACAAAGUCCCAGUUGCUUUCAGGAUGUACAGAGGCCCCUGGGGCUUCACAUCCCCACCUCCUCAGCAGUGAGGCCCCAAACCUCUGGCAGAGCAGGGUCAGAAGUAAUGAGCUCACCAGGGUUCCGGGUACACUAUCAGCACCCUGCAUGUGGCUCCUCCAAAGCGAGGACGCAUUGUCUCCUACAAACUCUUUCUCCUCCUGACUGCCUCAUUUCCUCUAAAGGAACCAACGUCAUCACCCAGGCAGUGAAGUGUCAAAUCCCAGGCAAUCAAACGUCGGUUCCAGAAGAUAUCUACUUUCACAAUUCUCUACAAUCAGCCCCUUCUUUUCCACUUCUACUGCCAAGUUCCAGUCUUCACUACAUCUCACCUGGACCCUAACUAGUUUUCAGUUUUCUCCCUCCCUCGUUUCUUUGUCUCCUGAUGACCCAGCCAUACCCUGCUUGCUGCCCAUCUGCCCUCUGCCUGCUCAGAAACUUGCCAAGCCCUCUUUUGCUCCCUGCCAAUUCAAGUCCUCAUCGAGCACCUUGCUGCACUGAUCUCUUGCAGUGUCUACUUUCUCUCCUUCUGGGGACUUAAGCUUUUGGAUACAGUCUUGGGGACUGCCUACCAUGCCACCAGCCCCGCCCUGGCCAAGGGAGGGAGUAUGACCCAGCCUGGGCCAACCAGACCUGGGAAAUGACUCUGAAGCUGUGGCAACAAAAUUAUGCUGCACAGCUGGAACUGGUGACAGUAGUACCCAGAAGAGGCUGAGCCAAAGGCUCCUGCCAUACCAAUGCUAAGACCCUGGAGGGGAUCUGGGUCCUGUACCAUUCCUCAGAUUCUAGAAAUUCCCACAGCCCUUCAAGGAUGCCCUUUCCUGCUGAAGUUAGUCAAGUUGUUGCUUGUAACCAAACAGGAUUGUCUCACUAGUUUUUCUUUUUUCUUUUUAGGGCCACAUGUGCAGCAUAUGGAAGUUCCCAGGCUAGGGGUCCAAACGGAGCUGCAGCUGCCAGCCUACGCCACAGCCAUAGCAACACAGGAUCCGAGCUUUGUCUGUGACCCACGUCACAGCUCAUGGCAAUGCUAGAUCCUUAACCCACUGAGCGAGGCCAGGGAUCAAACCGGCAUCCUCAUGGAUAAUAGUUGGGUUUGUUGCUUCUAAGCCACAAAAGGAACUCCUUCUUGCUACUUUUUGAAAUACCUCUCCAACCAAAAGAGAAAACUCCCUGAAAGUGCCAUGAUGGCCUCUCUCUGCACCUGCUGGGCUGCACGCCUCUCCAGCCCACAGGCACUGCUAGAACUCUACCUGCCUGUUCAGGGCCCAACCCAAAGGCCUGAACCCUCUGCAGGGAUGACUUCUGCCUCCUUUAAACCCACAAGCCACUGGUGGACCUUGUGCCUUCCACUGUGGACACUGAUGAACUUGUCUUAUCCCCCUCCCAGAGGACAGGUGACUUGAUCAUUCUCUUCUCUACCUACCAUAGUUCCAGGCUCAGUAAAAUUCACCACGCUCGGGGGGCAGACAAACCUCAAGGACAAUUACAGGGUUGCCACAAGAGAAAGACAGGCAGUGACAAAGAGCAUGGGGUAUGUGGAGUUCCUGUCGUGGAGCAAUUCCCAGGCAUCCUGUCCAGUGUGUAGCCAUGGCCAACACCCCAACCUGCUGGGCCUGAGGGACAGGAACAGGGCAGAUGACUGCGCGGUUUGGUGUCUGCUUUCCCAUCUCCGUGCAGCCACCCCUUUUCCAAAGGCCUUGUACCUAAAUGUCCUACUUUUGUGGGGCCUCGCAAAUAAUCAGGAGGGGAUAAUGGGGUAGUGUCUGCUACUCGGUUACAAGGGGGAGCUCAGGCCCCACAGGUUAACUCUACCAUUGACCUAGCCAACACUGGGCAGCAGGAGAGUAGAAGGAAAAGGCCAAUCUAGGGCAGCUACCAGAACAAGCCUGGGUAGGGGAGCAAGGUGGGAGGAAGUCUCUCUUAAGACUUUACAUCUGCAUGGAUUAAUCUCCCAAUCAAUUGUCAUGGGCCCGAACCAGUGAUUCUCAACUCUUAUGGCCAAGGAGCUGGGCAGAAAUCAAAUUCUAGGCCCCACCCAGACUGCCUGAACCAGAAGACUCAGGGACAGGGGCCAAGCAAUCUGUGCCUUAAACACCUUUCCAGGGGAUUCUGACAUCUGGUAAAUUAUGAGAAAUUCUGUCCUAAACCUUUAACUGCAAGUCUCUCUGCUUUAACUCAAAUUACUGAUCACCUACUAUGUGCCAAGGGCUGAGCCAAGCAGUGAUCUUUCAGAAAUAAGGACACGUCUGAAGAACCUGAAACAUCUAACAGGGACCAAAAUCAAGUACACAAAUACACAAGGCAGGAUAGGGUGUAGAAUAAGGCAAAGGAAUCAGCUUCCCGGCCCACUCACCACCCCUCAGAUCUCCUCUUGCCACCACUGGGGAAAAGAGAACCUCAGUUUUGAGAAACCCUCCCUCUAUGCUAUUUUGGACUCCUCAUAAUUGCAGGUAGUUUUUUCAAGAAGAGUGAUCUUCACCCUGUGGCAUGUUUCAAGCCCAAAGGUUUGGCUCGUGGGGAAAUGGUCCAUGAAGCCACACCCAGUAGUUCUUAGUGGCUUUGAAACUGGCACUAUCUGGGGUUUGGGCUCAGAAAGUUCCUAGAGGGCUGUGAACAUGCCACAGCACAUCACAUCACUGCAUUCCCGUGCAGGGUCACUCCCCCAGGCCCCUGGCAAGUUGACACGUGAGCACAGAUGCAGACAUAAACAGGCACACAGACAGUUGGCCCCCUGGCCUCUCUUCCUCCAUUCUCAAGUUACUCGGUUAAAGGCGUCCUAUUCACAGCCAAGAGGGGAGGGAUGAGAGAGGGGGUGCUGAAGCAGGGAACCAUCUGGUUCAGAUCAAGAUUGCUCAUUCAGGACCCCAACGGAACUCUCAGAGCCUGCAGAGCCUUUCUGAUGGCUCUGAGAUUUCCCUCCCUCCCCACACUGGGAAACUGAAGACUUAACUAGGAAAGGAACAGGCAAAGGCAUAUCUUCCAAAGGAAGACAAAAAACUGAGAUAUAUAGGCAAGUCUGUGCCACCUUUCUGAGCCCUGGCUCCCUCUUCCCUUCUAAUCCUGAACCCCACCUCUACACUUGAGAUCACCACCAACAUUGUGUCUUCCCCCCACAAAGAGCUCAGGACACCUACCAGGCAUCCUACCCUGAACGGGCAACCCCCUCCAAAGUUAGCAGCAGAAGCAGAAUGAGGCUUAGGGGUGUGGUCUCUCAGACUCCUCACAUGUACCGCCAUGUCCACCAAGGUAGGAGGACCCAGGAGUCCACCAGACAUGAUAAGAGAAAGGGAUGACCACCAGCUUUCAGACGACUGUCCCAAAGACAAGAUGGGAGUACACAUGACUGGCUAGGAAUGACUUCCCAAGGACCCCAGGGUGCCUUAAACCCCCUCGGCAGCUUUGGCUGAAAGAGGCUGCCACUCCCUUUCCACCACCAGCACCUUGCUCCCCUUUCCCCCAACUACACCUUAGACUGUUCUACAGUGUUUUAUGGAGCAGCAAAGCAAGAGGCAAGAUGGGAGAUGGAGGUAGUUGGCUAGAAAUAAAAAUUGAAAGGCUAACUUGAGUAAAUGAGCAAUAGAUGGGUGACUUUACAGGCAGAGAAGGCCAGAAGUGAAACAGGGGAGGGAAGAGGGGGAAACAAAAGUGGAAAAAAUCUAAAGGGGAGACUAAAGUGAGCUCAGCUGCAGCAGGGGGCUGGGAAGUUUGGUCCAGUCACAGAGGAAGGACUAGAGGAAAGAAAUGACUCUUCUAUGCCAAGGCAAGGGCUCACGCCAGCCCCACGGGACUGGGGCAUGGCCUUGGCCAAGUUCCUGGUUUGUGCCUAGCCUCAGUUUCCCCAGAGUGGGAAGGAGGUCAAGCUGUUAGGUCUCAUCAGAGAGAAGUGGGCCAUUGUGGUUGGCUAGGGGGCAGUGCCAGGUAGAGGAAAGAGGAGAGAGAUGCUGAUGGUGCAAAGACAGGCUCUGGCCAAGACAAGCGGGACAGGGGUCUCCAGGUAGAGCAAAGGCCAGAAGGGCCCAAGGGGGUUGCGGGGUGUGAACUAGGCAGUGGACUAAAGUCGGGACUGGGGCACGAGGAGCUCUUCCCAGGGCUGGAGACUGCCACCAACGAGUAGAACAGUCGCGCCUGGAGGGCUGGGAGCGGUUGGAGGUACAGAACAGAAGCAGGAGGAGGGAA